GGAGGAUGCAAGCGUUAUCCGGAUUCAUUGGGUUUAAAGGGUGCGUAGGCGGAAUGAUAAGUUAGUGGUGAAAGCCCCCGGCUCAACCGGGGAACUGCCAUUAAAACUGUCAUUCUUGAGUAUAGUUGAAGUGGGCGGAAUGUAUCAUGUAGCGGUGAAAUGCUUAGAUAUGAUACAGAACACCGAUAGCGAAGGCAGCUUGCUAAACUAUAACUGACGCUCAGGCACGAAAGCGUGGGGGGAGCAAACAGGAUUAGAUACCCUGGUAGUCCACGCCGUAAACCGAUGAUCACUCGCUGUUGGCGAUACACAGUCAGCGGCUUAGGGAAACCCAUUAAGUGAUCCACCUGGGAGUACGGUCGCAAGAUUG
rnacentral:rRNA from 1 species